UUUUCUGAAUUAAAAAUUAACCUGAUCUGAGUGGGAGAUCUUAGCACAUCUGGGUUUGCAAUAGCUUGGAGCUGCGCCUGAACCAGUGCUAACAUCUGCCAUCAGUUUGAUCUAAAAGAAGAGAAACCCAUAGUUAACCCCAGCAGUGGACCAAUCCAGCUGUACUGAGGAAUGCUGCUUCAACCCAAUGUGAGACAGGACUGGGAGCCGACAUGGAGAUAAACAUUGCUGUGCCAACCUUGGUGCUGCCAUCUACACACUGGAAACCUAAAGCCACCUGUGUCCUAGUGAUUCUCUGGGAAGAGGAACAAACCAAGGACUGCCUGUCUUCUGUGCAUCCCUGAUCAGGCCUGCAAGAAGGCAACUAUAACUGAUACAACACAUAAAGGAGAAGUACCUUGGUAAUUGGUAAAGGCUGUGCUUGCAGAACACCAGGUGGGAAGGUUCUCUGACAUUGCAGGUUUUGCUGCGACCAGGAGAUGACUACUGUGUGCUCAGCGCUCAGAGAUACAUAAGCUAUGCUUUUAGAAGAAAUGUGAAAGGAAUCAUCAAGAAUUCCCAUCGCAUCUAGAGGCCUGGAGGGAAACACUGACCACCAAAAUGAAGACAGGGUACCUGUGGAGUAGAAACUGGAAGAGAGAACUUCUUUCUUAAGAAGGGAAUCUUCCAGUACAAAUUCUGGAAUGAAUUUGAACAGUAAUAUUUAAACCAGGAUAACCUUAGUGGGGAGAAACUUAUUCUGGGUGGAGAUCUAGAUUGAACUAAAAGUUACUGAAUUGGCCAACUUCUCACGUAGGCCUGAUGCAUCGAAACUUCUAUGUAAAGAGAAUGUAUGUUCUCAAUGUAAUUUGCAGAAGUAUUUGCUGAAGUAUAUGAACAGGAGCAAAGUGCCUAGGCACUCACCCAAAUACUACUGGGUGCUUUGUGGAACACCAACGUCGAUUGGAGCACAGAUAGCUGAGUUUUAUGAACAUUAAUGUUGAAUCUCAGUAUUACAAGAGCAGCUGACAGUAACCACUUAUGAGCACAGUCGUGUUCUUGGUACGCUCAAGUACUUAUGAUUCAUGCCAGUGUCACUGUGGGCACUUCAGCUUUCAACCUGAUUUCAUAUUCCCUUUAUCCACUGCUGGUCAGUGAAAAGUAAAUUGCUCAUGUGAAAUGAUUUAGUCACUUAAUCACCCUUGAACGUUGGUCUCUCUAAAACGUUUGUUUUGUAAUAAAGAAUUAAUAUCAUCUUUGCAGUUAGGAACAGACACCUGCAUUUUGGCCUUGUUUUAGUGUAGCAGAUCUGCUAACACAUUCUGAUCUUUGCUUAGUACCUUUUAAAGAAGGAAAGCCAGCAAAAAAAUCUCUUAUCAUAGUUGUCCUAACAAGCACUUCACUCGCUGUUGAAUAUUUCAAUAAAAAGAGCUUCUCGUACU
rnacentral:lncRNA from 7 species